AUUGAACGCUGGCGGCAUGCUUUACACAUGCAAGUCGAACGGUAACAGGUUAAGCUGACGAGUGGCGAACGGGUGAGUAAUGCAUCGGAACGUGCCCGAUCGUGGGGGAUAACGUAGCGAAAGUUACGCUAAUACCGCAUACGAUCUGAGGAUGAAAGCGGGGGACCGUAAGGCCUCGCGCGAUCGGAGCGGCCGAUGUCAGAUUAGGUAGUUGGUGGGGUAAAGGCCCACCAAGCCGACGAUCUGUAGCUGGUCUGAGAGGACGACCAGCCACACUGGGACUGAGACACGGCCCAGACUCCUACGGGAGGCAGAAGUGGGGAAUUUUGGACAAUGGGCGCAAGCCUGAUCCAGCAAUGCCGCGUGCAGGAAGAAGGCCUUCGGGUUGUAAACUGCUUUUGUACGGAGCGAAAAGGCUCUCUCUAAUACAGGGGGCUCAUGACGGUACCGUAAGAAUAAGCACCGGCUAACUACGUGCCAGCAGCCGCGGUAA
rnacentral:rRNA from 1 species